rnacentral:tRNA from 1 species
GCUGGGGAUGUAGCUCAGUGGUCGAGUGCUUGUCUAGCACGUGCAAGGCUCUGGGUUUGAUCCCCAGCACAGCA